CGUAGGGCGCGAGCGUUGUCCGGAUUUAUUGGGCGUAAAGAGCUCGUAGGCGCUUGUCGCGUCGACUGUGAAAACCCGCGGCUCAACUGUGGGCUUGCAGCCGAUACGGGCAGGCUAGAGUUCGGUAGGGGAGACUGGAAUUCCUGGUGUAGCGGUGAAAUGCGCAGAUAUCAGGAGGAACACCGGUGGCGAAGGCGGGUCUCUGGGCCGAUACUGACGCUGAGGAGCGAAAGCGUGGGGAGCGAACAGGAUUAGAUACCCUGGUAGUCCACGCUGUAAACGUUGGGCGCUAGGUGUGGGGGGCCUCUCCGGUUCUCUGUGCCGCAGCUAACGCAUUAAGCGCCCCGCCUGGGGAGUACGGCCGCAAGGCUA
rnacentral:rRNA from 1 species